rnacentral:rRNA from 1 species
CCCUUAGACGUUCUGGGCCGCACGCGCGCUACACUGACCAGUGCAACAAGCAUCCGUCCUUGGCCGACAGGCCCGGGCAAUCUUUGAACGCUGGUCGUGAUGGGGAUAGACUUUUGCAAUUUUUGGUCUUCAACGAGGAAUUCCUAGUAAACGCAAGUCAUCAACUUGCAUUGAUUACGUCCCUGCCCUUUGUACACACCGCCCGUCGCUCCUACCGAUUUCGAGUGGUCCGGUGAACCUUUCGGACUGAGAGUGGCCUCGAGUCGCUUUUAGAAAGUCAAGUAAACCACAUCACUUAGAGGAAGGAGAAGUCGUAACA